UACGAAGGGGGCUAGCGUUGCUCGGAAUCACUGGGCGUAAAGCGCGCGCAGGCGGUCUUCCAAGUCAGUGGUGAAAGCCCGGAGCUCAACUCCGGAACUGCCAUUGAAACUGUGAGACUUGAGGAUGAGAGAGGUGAGUGGAAUUCCCAGUGUAGAGGUGAAAUUCGUAGAUAUUGGGAAGAACACCGGUGGCGAAGGCGGCGACCUGGUCCGUGACUGACGCUGAGGCGCGAAAGCGUGGGGAGCAAACAGG
rnacentral:rRNA from 1 species